rnacentral:lncRNA from 1 species
CAUUUUUUAAGGCUUCCAUUGGCUCUAGGAAGGCGCCAGAAAGUGGAAUGAGAGCUCUCCAGUCUCUGGGCGAAAAACAGCAGGGGUUUUUGUGAGUGGUCCUGCUGAGAACAAUGACACUGCAGCGCGCGUGCACGAGACGACUCCAUUUUUUCCUUUCAGUGUUUGAACGAAUACAACGUCACCCGGUUGGAAUACUAUCGCUAUUUUACGAGAAAAAUAGCAUAAAAAUGUAUUUUAAACAGCGUUUGACAUGCUUCGAAGUACGAUAAUGGAAUAUUUUGAAUUUUUUUGUCACGAAAUGCACCGUCAUUCAAGUCACUACCUUUCGGAUAGUGACUUGAACGCACAAACAAAACGGAGCUAUUUGGAUAUAACUAUGGAUUAUUUUGAACCAAAACAACAUUUGUUGUAGAAGUCCUGGGAGUGCAUUCUGACGAAGAACAGCAAAGGCGAAAUCCUAAAUUUGAUCAGACCGACUGAGGAGUCUGACGCUGAUCAUAACCAGCACCCACCAGCGCCAAAGACCCCCAAAUUCACCCCAAAAAUAUCUUCUAGACCCUCUUUGUCACUCUCUGCUGGGGGUCCUCAGUCCUCUUCGUCACAGGGGCCAGCUGCUCACAAGUCUGAAGAAUCAUCAAGACCCUGUUCCCGUGCUUCUUCGCUAGAAGAUUUUCUGGCAGUAGUCCAUGGAUUUCUGCAGGCUGAUUAUUCAGCACCUGAGGAAAUUGGCAGAGGAUGUCAGAGAGUUGCAAUACCAGACCACAGUAACAGGAACCUCUUAAUGUAACUGACCAAUGGGUCUCAUGGGGACAUGGUUCUGCCAGAGGACACUGUGCUUCCUCUGAAGGACAUGCCUUGCUGGAGGAGCUUGAACAUCGGCUUGCUGGGAAUGAGGAACUUCAGGAGAAAUUGGUGAGGUUUUUGGCUGCUAAAGGGGGCAAGACCGUCAAAGACUCUGUGAGGAGGAUGUUUGCCUGCCUUUUCUCCAACGACCUGUCCAGGCUUUGUAUCUAGACCGGCUUGGGACAUAAGAUCUCUUUCAGGCAGCUAUCUUUAAAAAGCAUUGUUCACAGAACGAUAAGAAAGAACCUCUCUACAAAAGAGGCAACAGAGGGGAACCUCCAAGAGGUGGUCUGUCACAUCCUGACCAGUAAUAGGGGUUAUUUGUUAUUAUAGUUUGGUCAGGACGUGGCAGGGGGUGUUUGUUUUAUGUGGUUUGGGCUAUGUAUUUAGGUAGAGGGGUGUUUGGUUUAUGUGGUCCGGGGUUUGUUAGUCUAUGUUCUAUGUUAGUAUUUUUCUAUGUUCUAUCUAGUCUAUUGUAGUUCUUUGUUUAGUUAAUUGGGGUUGGACCUUCAAUUGGAGGCAGCUGGUUAUUGUUGCCUCUGAUUGAGGGUCCUAUAAUUAGGAGUUUGUUUUCAUGGGGUUUUUGUGGGAGAUUGUGCUUGUUUAGCUGUGUGCCUGACAAGACUGUCCAGUUCGUUUGUGGUUUGUAUACGUUUAUUGUGUUUCCCUUCUUCACCAAAUAAAAAGAAGAUGAGUAUAUAUUUUCCCGCUGCGUCUUGGUCUUUACCCUUUCGACAACCGUGACAUGGUCGCAACAUUUUUGAAGGGAGCUGCUGACAGAGAAGGAGUUAGGAAAGAAAUACAAGCCAACUGAAGAGGCUCAAGAAACAAUUUUCUGUUUGUCCAUGUAAACUGUAUUGUACUGUACAUACUCAUUAUUUUGUAACAUAGGACAUGAUUUUCUUUAAUAACAAUUAGAAAGCCUAAAUCUAAAUCUAUAUGUAUAUUUAUUUUAUUAUUACUACUAAUUGUAUAAUCCUUAUAUUCAUCGUUACCAUGUAUUCAAUGUAGAUAUUUUAUAUUGUAAUGUGUUUUACAAUAAAUUUG